CCUACGGGUGGCAGCAGUGAGGAAUAUUGGUCAAUGGGCGCGAGCCUGAACCAGCCAAGUCGCGUGAAGGAUGACUGCCCUACGGGUUGUAAACUUCUUUUAUAAAGGAAUAAAGUGAGGCACGUGUGCCUCUGUGUAUGUACUUUAUGAAUAAGGAUCGGCUAACUCCGGGCCAGCAGCCGCGGUAAUACGGAGGAUCCGAGCGUUAUCCUGAUUUAUUGGGUGUAAAGGGAGCGUAGAUGGGUUGUUAAGUCAGUUGUGAAAGUUUGCGGCUCAACCUGAAAAUUGCAAUUGAUACUGGCAGCCUUGAGUACAGUUGAGGUAGGCGGAAUUCGUGGUGUAGCGGUGAAAUGCUUAGAUAUCACGAAGAACUCCGAUUGCGAAGGCAGCUUACUAAACUGCCACUGACAUUGAUGCUCGAAAGUGUGGGUAUCAAACAGGAUUAGAUACCCGAGUAGUC
rnacentral:rRNA from 1 species